GGGCCGAUAGUCUAGCUCGGCUAUGAUGUCUCGUUUACACCGAGAAGGUCGCUGGUUCAAAUCCGGCUCGGCCCACCA
rnacentral:tRNA from 2 species